AUUGAACGCUGGCGGCAUGCUUUACACAUGCAAGUCGAACGGCAGCACGGUCUUCGUUCUGGUGGCGCGUGGCGAACGCGUGAGUAAUAUAUCUGAACGUACCCCUACGUGGUGGAUAACGUAGCGAAAGUUACGCUAAUACUGCAUACGAUCAACGGCUGAAACCCGGGGAGCGCAAGGCCUUGUCCUCCUGGAGCGGCCGAUAUCUGAUUAGCUAGUUGGUGGGGUAAAGGCUCACCAAGGCGACGAUCAGUAGCUGGUCUGAGAGGACGACAAGCCACACUGGAACUGAGACACGGUCCAGACUCCUACGGGAGGCAGCAGUGGGGAAUUUUGGACAAUGGGCGCAAGCCUGAUCCAGCAAUGCCGCGUGAGUGAAGAAGGCCUUCGGGUUGUAAAGCUCUUUUGUCAGGGAAGAACCGGUAGAGGCUAAUAUCCUUUGCUAAUGACGGUACCUGAAGAAUAAGCACCGGCUAACUACGUG
rnacentral:rRNA from 1 species